rnacentral:rRNA from 1 species
GUGAGGAAUUUUCCGCAAUGGGCGAAAGCCUGACGGAGCAAUGCCGCGUGAAGGAUGAAGGCCUAUGGGUUGUAAACUUCUUUUCUUAGAGAAGAAUAUUGACGGUAUCUGAGGAAUAAGCAUCGGCUAACUCUGUGCCAGCAGCCGCGGUAAGACAGAGGAUGCAAGCGUUAUCCGGAAUGAUUGGGCGUAAAGCGUCUGUAGGUGGCUUCAAAAGUCUCCUGUCAAAGAUCAGGGCUUAACCCUGGGCCGGCAGGCGAAACUCUGAGGCUAGAGUUUGGUAGGGGCAGAGGGAAUGCCCGGUGGAGCGGUGAAAUGCGUAGAGAUCGGGAGGAACACCAAAGGCGAAAGCACUCUGCUGGGCCACAACUGACACUGAGAGACGAAAGCGAGGGGAGCAAAAGGGAUUAGAUACCCCAGUAGUCC